rnacentral:lncRNA from 1 species
CAAACACCCAAAGCAUGAAGAAAUUGAUUUCCAGCUGCUUGAAGAAUCUACAGAAGUUUGGCAUAGCUCUCUCUGGUGUCCAGUUAUCUCAAAUGAAGGACAACUGAGCAGGCAGCCAGCCGGAUACUUCCUGUGAGCAUCUGCUGACUUGAGAAGAUAUUGUGAGGAAGACCCAUGGUAAACAUGGCUGCUUGCUAUGGAAACUCGUUUCUGGUUCCUGAAGAUACUAUUUAAGAGGAGAUUAUUUCUAUGGGAUCUUGA